GUUAUAUGGUCAAGUGAAGAAGCGCAUACGGUGGAUGCCUUGGCAGUCAGAGGCGAUGAAAGACGUGGUAGCCUGCGAAAAGCUUCGGGGAGUCGGCAAACAGACUUUGAUCCGGAGAUCUCUGAAUGGGGGAACCCACCUAGGAUAACCUAGGUAUCUUGUACUGAAUCCAUAGGUGCAAGAGGCGAACCAGGGGAACUGAAACAUCUAAGUACCCUGAGGAAAAGAAAUCAACCGAGAUUCCCUUAGUAGUGGCGAGCGAACGGGGAUUAGCCCUUAAGCUUCAUUGAUUUUAGCGGAACGCUCUGGAAAGUGCGGCCAUAGUGGGUGAUAGCCCCGUACGCGAAAGGAUCUUUGAAGUGAAAUCGAGUAGGACGGAGCACGAGAAACUUUGUCUGAACAUGGGGGGACCAUCCUCCAAGGCUAAAUACUACUGACUGACCGAUAGUGAACCAGUACCGUGAGGGAAAGGCGAAAAGAACCCCGGAGAGGGGAGUGAAAUAGAACCUGAAACCGUAUGCGUACAAGCAGUGGGAGCCUACUUGUUAGGUGACUGCGUACCUUUGUAUAAUGGGUCAGCGACUUAUAUUCAGUGGCAAGCUUAACCGUAUAGGGUAGGCGUAGCGAAAGCGAGUCUUAAUAGGGCGUUUAGUCGCUGGGUAUAGACCCGAAACCGGGCGAUCUAUCCAUGAGCAGGUUGAAGGUUAGGUAACACUGACUGGAGGACCGAACCCACUCCCGUUGAAAAGGUAGGGGAUGACUUGUGGAUCGGAGUGAAAGGCUAAUCAAGCUCGGAGAUAGCUGGUUCUCCUCGAAAGCUAUUUAGGUAGCGCCUCAUGUAUCACUCUGGGGGGUAGAGCACUGUUUCGGCUAGGGGGUCAUCCCGACUUACCAAACCGAUGCAAACUCCGAAUACCCAGAAGUGCCGAGCAUGGGAGACACACGGCGGGUGCUAACGUCCGUCGUGAAAAGGGAAACAACCCAGACCGCCAGCUAAGGUCCCAAAGUUGUGGUUAAGUGGUAAACGAUGUGGGAAGGCUUAGACAGCUAGGAGGUUGGCUUAGAAGCAGCCACCCUUUAAAGAAAGCGUAAUAGCUCACUAGUCGAGUCGGCCUGCGCGGAAGAUGUAACGGGGCUCAAACCACACACCGAAGCUGCGGGUGUCACGUAAGUGACGCGGUAGAGGAGCGUUCUGUAAGCCUGUGAAGGUGAGUUGAGAAGCUUGCUGGAGGUAUCAGAAGUGCGAAUGCUGACAUGAGUAACGACAAUGGGUGUGAAAAACACCCACGCCGAAAGACCAAGGGUUCCUGCGCAACGUUAAUCGACGCAGGGUUAGUCGGUUCCUAAGGCGAGGCUGAAAAGCGUAGUCGAUGGGAAACAGGUUAAUAUUCCUGUACUUCUGGUUACUGCGAUGGAGGGACGGAGAAGGCUAGGCCAGCUUGGCGUUGGUUGUCCAAGUUUAAGGUGGUAGGCUGAAAUCUUAGGUAAAUCCGGGGUUUCAAGGCCGAGAGCUGAUGACGAGUCGUCUUUUAGAUGACGAAGUGGUUGAUGCCAUGCUUCCAAGAAAAGCUUCUAAGCUUCAGGUAACCAGGAACCGUACCCCAAACCGACACAGGUGGUCGGGUAGAGAAUACCAAGGCGCUUGAGAGAACUCGGGUGAAGGAACUAGGCAAAAUGGCACCGUAACUUCGGGAGAAGGUGCGCCGGCUAGGGUGAAGGAUUUACUCCGUAAGCUCUGGCUGGUCGAAGAUACCAGGCCGCUGCGACUGUUUAUUAAAAACACAGCACUCUGCAAACACGAAAGUGGACGUAUAGGGUGUGACGCCUGCCCGGUGCCGGAAGGUUAAUUGAUGGGGUUAGCGCAAGCGAAGCUCUUGAUCGAAGCCCCGGUAAACGGCGGCCGUAACUAUAACGGUCCUAAGGUAGCGAAAUUCCUUGUCGGGUAAGUUCCGACCUGCACGAAUGGCGUAACGAUGGCGGCGCUGUCUCCACCCGAGACUCAGUGAAAUUGAAAUCGCUGUGAAGAUGCAGUGUAUCCGCGGCUAGACGGAAAGACCCCGUGAACCUUUACUGUAGCUUUGCACUGGACUUUGAGCCUGCUUGUGUAGGAUAGGUGGGAGGCUUUGAAGCGUGGACGCCAGUUCGCGUGGAGCCAUCCUUGAAAUACCACCCUGGCAUGCUUGAGGUUCUAACUCUGGUCCGUAAUCCGGAUCGAGGACAGUGUAUGGUGGGCAGUUUGACUGGGGCGGUCUCCUCCUAAAGAGUAACGGAGGAGUACGAAGGUGCGCUCAGACCGGUCGGAAAUCGGUCGCAGAGUAUAAAGGCAAAAGCGCGCUUGACUGCGAGACAGACACGUCGAGCAGGUACGAAAGUAGGUCUUAGUGAUCCGGUGGUUCUGUAUGGAAGGGCCAUCGCUCAACGGAUAAAAGGUACUCCGGGGAUAACAGGCUGAUACCGCCCAAGAGUUCAUAUCGACGGCGGUGUUUGGCACCUCGAUGUCGGCUCAUCACAUCCUGGGGCUGAAGCCGGUCCCAAGGGUAUGGCUGUUCGCCAUUUAAAGUGGUACGCGAGCUGGGUUUAGAACGUCGUGAGACAGUUCGGUCCCUAUCUGCCGUGGACGUUUGAGAUUUGAGAGGGGCUGCUCCUAGUACGAGAGGACCGGAGUGGACGAACCUCUGGUGUUCCGGUUGUCACGCCAGUGGCAUUGCCGGGUAGCUAUGUUCGGAAAAGAUAACCGCUGAAAGCAUCUAAGCGGGAAACUUGCCUCAAGAUGAGAUCUCACUGGGAACUUGAUUCCCCUGAAGGGCCGUCGAAGACUACGACGUUGAUAGGCUGGGUGUGUAAGCGUUGUGAGGCGUUGAGCUAACCAGUACUAAUUGCCCGUGAGGCUUGACCAUAUAACACCCAAACA
rnacentral:rRNA from 1 species